CACUCACUCAUAUUCACAAAUCCGUCGUUUGAAACAAAAAAUGGAAGUCCGAUCUUUGCCGGAGAAGCUGCGGCGGGUCAAUGUCCGAUACACUGAUUGUGUCAAAGCAUCUCAACAUCUCUUCCAUUGAAAAUGGGACCUGAAAAUCAUCAAAAGUUAAUUGAAAGGUCGUGUGAACUUAUAUAUGCAAUCAGGCAAAGCUUGUAAAGAGGAGAGGAUGCAUGAAUUUGGAAGUAGGAAAGCUACGUACCAGGCCUCAUCAAGCAGGGCUAUUACUCCUCCGGGUUUCUGCAGGCAAGU